rnacentral:rRNA from 1 species
AGGUGAACCUGCGGAGGGAUCAUUACCGAGUUUACAACUCCCAAACCCAAUGUGAACCAUACCAAACUGUUGCCUCGGCGGGGUCACGCCCCGGGUGCGUCGCAGCCCCGGAACCAGGCGCCCGCCGGAGGGACCAACCAAACUCUUUUCUGUAGUCCCCUCGCGGACGUUAUUUCUUACAGCUCUGAGCAAAAAUUCAAAAUGAAUCAAAACUUUCAACAACGGAUCUCUUGGUUCUGGCAUCGAUGAAGAACGCAGCGAAAUGCGAUAAGUAAUGUGAAUUGCAGAAUUCAGUGAAUCAUCGAAUCUUUGAACGCACAUUGCGCCCGCCAGUAUUCUGGCGGGCAUGCCUGUCCGAGCGUCAUUUCAACCCUCGAACCCCUCCGGGGGGUCGGCGUUGGGGACCUCGGGAGCCCCUAAGACGGGAUCCCGGCCCCGAAAUACAGUGGCGGUCUCGCCGCAGCCUCUCCUGCGCAGUAGUUUGCACAACUCGCACCGGGAGCGCGGCGCGUCCACGUCCGUAAAACACCCAACUUCUGAAAUGUUGACCUCGGAUCAGGUAGGAAUACCCGCUGAACUUAAGCAUAUCAAUAA